UUUUUUCAGAGACAAAGUCUUGCUCUGUCACCCCGGCUGGAGUACAGUGGCAUGAUCAUAGCUCACUGCAGCCUCAAACUCCUGGACUCAAGCUAUCCUCCCACCACAGUUCCCAAUGCUGGGAUUACAGGUGUGAGCCACCACAACUGGCCUCAAGUAUCUUUUCUGACCACAGUGAUAUGACACUAGAAAUCAAUUAUGGGAGGAAGCUAGGUGUCAUGUUAUGCACCUGUAGUCCCAGCUAAUUGGAAAGCUGAGGUGGGAGGAUUGCUUAAGUCCAGGAGUUCAAGGCUGCAGUAGCUAUGACUGUGCGAGUGCACUCCAGCCUGGGUGACAGAAAAAGACCCUGUCUCUAAAAAUAAAUAAAUAAAAAUAAAUGAAUGAAUAUAGGGGGAAUUUUGAAAAAUCCACAAAUAUAUGGAAAUUAGCAUGCUCCUCAACAACCAAUAGGUCAAUGAAAUUAAAAGGGAAAUUAAAAAUCUUUAGAUAACAAGAUAAAAAUCUUGUUAUCUUAAGAUAAACAAAAAUGGAAACACAACAUAGCAAACAUAUGGGAUACAGCAAAAACAGUUCAAAGAGGAACGUUUAUAACAAUAAAUGUCUACAUCAAAGAGAAG
rnacentral:lncRNA from 10 species